rnacentral:lncRNA from 1 species
UACUUUUGAACCAAUGCCAUGGCAUCUUGAUAGCGUUGAUGCAUAUCACGGGGUCUUCCACCAAAAGAUGAGGGGAGUAUUGUUGUUCAUCCCACAUUUCCUAUUUGUUGUUAAAGAUGACAUUUUAAAUACAUUUUGUUGAUGCACAAAACCGGAGGUCUUGGAAUAACGUAAAUCCGACCGUGAAUCUGCAAGUAAUGUAAAUAACACAAGAUAUAUCGUGGUUCACCCCAAGGUUUGGGCUACGUCCACACUGAUUAUGUAUUUAU